rnacentral:rRNA from 1 species
GAUGAACGCUGGCGGCGUGCUUAACACAUGCAAGUCGAACGGAAAGGCCGAAGCUUGCUUCGGUACUCGAGUGGCGAACGGGUGAGUAACACGUGGGUGAUCUGCCCUGUACUUCGGGAUAAGCUUGGGAAACUGGGUCUAAUACCGGAUAUGACGAUCUCUUGGAUGGGGUUGUGGAAAGCUUUUGCGGUAUGGGAUGAGCUCGCGGCCUAUCAGCUUGUUGGUGGGGUAAUGGCCUACCAAAGCGUCGACGGGUAGCCGGCCUGAGAGGGUGUACGGCCACAUUGGGACUGAGAUACGGCCCAGACUCCUACGGGAGGCAGCAGUGGGGAAUAUUGCACAAUGGGCGCAAGCCUGAUGCAGCGACGCCGCGUGGGGGAUGACGGCCUUCGGGUUGUAAACUCCUUUCGCAAUCGACGAAGCCUUUUGGUGACGGUAGGUUGAGAAGAAGCACCGGCUAACUACGUG